rnacentral:rRNA from 1 species
AUUGAACGCUGGCGGCAGGCCUAACACAUGCAAGUCGAGCGGAUGAAGGGAGCUUGCUCCUGGAUUCAGCGGCGGACGGGUGAGUAAUGCCUAGGAAUCUGCCUGGUAGUGGGGGAUAACGUCCGGAAACGGGCGCUAAUACCGCAUACGUCCUGAGGGAGAAAGUGGGGGAUCUUCGGACCUCACGCUAUCAGAUGAGCCUAGGUCGGAUUAGAUAGUUGGUGGGGUAAAGGCCUACCAAGGCGACGAUCCGUAACUGGUCUGAGAGGAUGAUCAGUCACACUGGAACUGAGACACGGUCCAGACUCCUACGGGAGGCAGCAGUGGGGAAUAUUGGACAAUGGGCGAAAGCCUGAUCCAGCCAUGCCGCGUGUGUGAAGAAGGUCUUCGGAUUGUAAAGCACUUUAAGUUGGGAGGAAGGACAGUAAGUUAAUACCUUGCUGUUUUGACGUUACCAACAGAAUAAGCACCGGCUAACUUCGUG